rnacentral:rRNA from 1 species
AGUGAACGCUGGCGGUAGGCCUAACACAUGCAAGUCGAACGGCAGCACAGUAAGAGCUUGCUCUUACGGGUGGCGAGUGGCGGACGGGUGAGGAAUACAUCGGAAUCUACUUUUUCGUGGGGGAGAACGUAGGGAAACUUACGCUAAUACCGCAUACGACCUACGGGUGAAAGAAGGGGAUCUCCGGACCUUGCGCGAGAGAUUGAGCCGAUGUCGGAUUAGCUAGUUGGCGGGGUAAAGGCCCACCAAGGCGACGAUCCGUAGCUGGUCUGAGAGGAUGAUCAGCCCCACUGGAACUGAGACACGGUCCAGACUCCUACGGGAGGCCGCAGUGGGGAAUAUUGGACAAUGGGCGCAAGCCUGAUCCAGCCAAACCGCGUGGGUGAAGAAGGCCUUCGGGUUGUAAAACCCUUUUGUUGGGAAAGAAAAGCAGCAGGUUAAUACCCCGCUGUUCUGACGGUACCCAAAGAAUAAGCACCGGCUAACUUCGUG